CAAAGAUUCAUUGACAAUAGAGUUGAGGGUCCAUUUCUGGGUUUUGUAUUCUGUUCCUUGAUCUAUGUGUCUGUUUUUGUGUCAGUACCAUACUGUCCUGAUGGUUACAGCUUUGUAAUUGAGGUUGAAGUCUCAAACUGUGAUGGCACCAGCUUUGGUUUUCUUUUUCAAACUUCCAUUGGCUAUUUGGGAUGGUGGUGCUGGUGGUCCAGAAGUUUUUGGCUUCUCUAACCACAGCUGACUGCUGCUAAGUUUAAAGAAAAACCAGAAGUAAUAUAGUACCCAAGUUAAGAGCUAGACUGGAUUGGAAUACUCCUUUAUGAACAAUGAGCUGUAUGGCCUUGGCUUCUUCAAGAGUGACAGGACAUUUGACAACUGGGGCUGUUGCAAUGGUCAUAUGAAUGAAGCAUCAGGUGCGCUGGUACCUCACACAAUAUGCAGAAGGUCUCAAGACUUGAAGGAUACAAAAUUAGAAAGCAUCUUUGAGGUUCUUAGCACCCAUGGGAUGUUUCUGUAUUUCAACUGAGUCUUGUGUGCUUUCAUUUCCCUACACCUCAACUCCAAGUGUCAAGAGACAAGCCAAGAUGAUCCUUCAUCACUGUUUUCUCAUUGGAAGAAUGAUUCUCCUUCAUUUGGAAGCAACUGGCAGAUGUUCCCUGCUGAGCUGGCUCUUGGGUUUCAUGGAAUGCUGUGGUGUUGAAAUUCCAUUGUGUAGAAUGUCUUUCCUCACUCUUUCCACCCCCUGCCCCAGAAAUUGCCUCUACUUCCCCACUCCCAUUCAAAAGGUACAUUAGCCUUUGUUUUAAUCUUCUGCAAUACUAUCCAUGUCUUUUUCCCAUCUCUGUCUCUCAUUACAACAGACUUGAGCACAGGCAAGUGAGAUUAGCUUUGCAAACUGUACUACAUAACAGUAAAGUUAUUUUUUCAGUUAUGCAAGGACCAAUGUAAAUUUUUUUUUUUAAGAUUUCAUUUAUUUUUUGAAGGGUGGGAGAGGAAGAGAGAAACCAAAGCAGACUCUGUGCUGAGUGUGAGCCUGCCAUGGGGCUCCAUCUCAGGACCCAGAGAUCACGACCUCAGCUAAAAUAAAGAGUCAGCUGCCGAACCCACUGAGCCACCCAGGUGCCCUGUGAAG